rnacentral:lncRNA from 1 species
AGAUGUGCUGCGGCUCUGCUACGGGCGGCUCUGUCGCCUUCAGUCGCAGGCUGGUUCUUUGGGGGAAAGUUGUAUCCAAUAUUGGUGACUCCCGGGAAUAGUCUGUUUGUGUGCUACUUAAUGGUCUCUAGGCUUCCUUGUCUUGUAGAACCUUGUUAGAAAGGAGCCUUGGUGAUUAAGAGGCUAUGGAGUACACAGCCUUGCUUAGCAGAUGAGCCCUUAUCCAUUUCCCGUUUCCUUAAAAACGGCUAAUUGAUGGAUGCUGCAGAAAACAUGCACUCUGCUAAUAAGAUGCUGAUGACAAAAUAGGUAUCAGGAAAGGCAUUUACUGCUUAUGAGCACCAUCAGCUUUCUUUCGAGUGAGAUUGUGGCUUUGUAGUAAAGUUUUUUUUUAAGUAAUAUGCUAAUAGUUUUAUUCUAAAUCGGCCAGCGCUGAAUAUCUUCAGGAAAAUGGGUUCCAUGAGAAGUGACAUCCUCCUCGAAUCAAAAGAUUCUCAGGAUGAUGGAGUGAGUGAUGGAAUAGGUUGCCAACUGUAGUUACUCCACUCAGCACAGAAUGGCUGCGGGGAAAUAUAAUCAGACAUGCCCAAAGAAGUCUGCUUAGGGUGAAACAAAUACCUUUGAGGUUUAAAUCAGAAAGGAAGGAGAGACUGUUUCUACAGGUGUCAUACAAAAAUCAAUACUGAGCCAAGGAUUAUUGGAUCCCAUAGAACCACGGAGACUUGGUAGUGAAAUUCUUCCAAAGCAUUCCAUCCGUGCAGGCAGAUGGUGUUCCUAGGUUUGGAAAUAUAAAUCCCAUGGGAAGUCAGCUGAAGACCAUUUUAUGCAUCACUCAUCCUGUUAGAGCCCUGUGCUGUUCUGUCUCUCUAUAAGACUGGCUGAAACCACCACGGUUGUUUACAAUUUAUGCUCUAACUUUGGAUCACCUAGUUAAUACUCUAACUCCGAUUAUUACCAAAGACAAUGUUCUAUAAAAGAUAUUGUCUAUUAGAAGGAUGCUUCUGCAUUAUUAAUAAAAUCACAGGGAAAAUGCAACAUUUUGGAUGUCACAUCUGAUAAGUUGGCAGUUAAAGAACAGAAACAGCAAUAAGACUGCGUGGCUACAUUUUCCCAGUGCCACCAACUGGGAUUUAAGCUGACUAACAUUUUGAAAGCCCAGCCCAUUUCAUUCACAGCAGGAUGGCAGUGGGUGACUGAUCGUACCCGCCAGCUGGCUAAUGUCAUAAUUAACAAAGUUGCUACUACAUCUGCAAAGUUUAAUCGAAAAAUUUGCCAGUGAUAUGAUGGCCUUGUCACAGAGAUCACAAGGGACACGGAGUUGACUUUUGCUCAAGGUGGAACGACAGAGCUGUGUAGGCAAGAUGAGAAAUUGCGAACUUGUUCGGCCAAAGGAGGCUAAUAAUGAAGGGGCCGGGAAGGAGGCCAGUGCUACCAGGGUUAUCUCACAACCUCAGAUGCUGGAUAAGUCGACGGAGGCAGAAUCGCUUUGGGAUGACAUUCAGAAAGCCUGGAGUGAUUACUUGCAAGAGAAAAGCCUACCUAUUCUUUCCAAGGUGCAGGAAUAUUCCCCUGACCUGCUCAUCCAGUGGUCCAGUAAUGAAUUACUGGAGACCUGCCUUAGACAAAGAAUGCACUCGGAGCCCCAACACACCUAAAGCCAUGCUUUGAAGGAUCUGCCAAGCUCACUUUUAAUCAUGAGAAAGAAAUUACCCACACGGAGUCAGCAGAAAAUGAGAAAGUAGAGCUCGUGCUGUGAAUAAUUCCAGCAAGUGCCAAGGGGCUAGUUGAGGAAUGGCUUCAUGAGAACAUGCUCUAGGGGAACUAUUAAUAGCCCACCAGUCGGGUAGGCAGCAUUCAAUCCUUCUAUGCCUUCUUUCGCCACCUGUUGAGGUCUUUCUUCUGAAACAAAGAAGAAAUAGACAAAUCAGACUUGCCCUCUUGGAAAUGUGGUCCAGAUUUCUCUACUCCCAAGCUCCAAAAAAGGUAUACAUUGGAUGGGCUAGAUCAACUCCUCCUGAGAGCCAUAAAUCCGCCAAGAGUUGUUUUCCAUGUAAGGGUGUGGUACAAUGGGGAACACCUGAUGUUGGAGGAAAGCAGGAGGACUUUAGAGUGGAGUUGCAUUCUAAUCUCUCUGCCGCUUCAACUAUGUGACCUGGGGCAAAUGAUAUAAACUCUAUGAGCCUCUUUCCUUAUCUUUAAAAUGAAGAGAAGUAAUACCUACCUUGUAGGGCUGUUGUGAGGAUUAAAUGAAGUAAUGCAUACAGUGCCUAACAAAGUAUUUAACAUCAUAUUUUUUAAAAGCUCAUGAAAUAUUAGUUUUUCUUCCUUCCCCUCUUUCUAUUUUCUCUCCUGUUCCCUUUUCUCUCCCUCCUCUGCCCUCUCCUUCCUUCAGAUGUUAGUCUAAAACAGCACCUUGGAUCUAAGCAGCACCUUUGAGAAAGAAAAGACUGCUUCAAGAAUGUCUAGUUGCACCUCCUUUCCGUAUGUGGCCUAAAUGCCUAGGUUGGAUCAAUAGUUUAAUUUUUUUAUUGAACUGUUUAAUAUUGACUAUGGACUUACAUUCACUUUUACUGUUUUCUGUAUAUUUACUUUUGCUUGAAGUGUUUUAAUAUUGACUAUUUACCUCUGCUCAUUUUUAUUGAUUUUCUGUAUUUUUUCAAUGAAAAUUAUAAUAAAAAUUAUUUUUGUUA